rnacentral:rRNA from 1 species
CAAUAGCGUAUAUUUAAGUUGCUGCAGUUAAAAAGCUCGUAGUUGGAUUUCGGGUGGGAAUGGCCGGUCCGCCGUUUCGGUGUGCACUUGCUACGCCCACCUUGCUGCCGGGGACGUGCUCUUGAGUUCACGCUCGGGACACGGAGUCGGCGAGGUUACUUUGAGUAAAUUAGAGUGUUCAAAGCAGGCCUACGCUCUGAAUACAUUAGCAUGGAAUAACACGAUAGGACUCUGGCCUAUCUUGUUGGUCUGUAGGACCGGAGUAAUGAUUAAGAGGGACAGUCGGGGGCAUUCGUAUUUCAUUGUCAGAAGUGAAAUUCUUGGAUUUAUGAAAGACGAACUACUGCGAAAGCAUUUGCCAAGGAUGUUUUCAUUAA